GGCAGACGGGUGAGUAACACGUGGGAACCUUCCCUAUAGUACGGAAUAUACCAGGGAAACUUGGAGCAAUACCGUAUACGCCCGAGAGGGGAAAGAUUUAUCGCUAUAGGAUGGGCCCACGUAGGACUAGCUAGUUGGUGAGGUAACGGCUCACCAAGGCGACGAUCCUUAGCUGGUUUGAGAGAACGACCAGCCACACUGGGACUGCGACACGGCCCAGACUCCUACGGGAGGCAGCAGUGGGGAAUAUUGGACAAUGGGCGCAAGCCUGAUCCAGCCAUGCCGCGUGAGUGAUGAAGGCCUUAGGGUUGUAAAGCUCUUUUGGCGGAUACGAUAAUGACGGUACCCGCAGAAUAAGUCCCGGCUAACUUCGUGCCAGCAGCCGCGGUAAUACGAAGGGGACUAGCGUUGUUCGGAAUCACUGGGCGUAAAGCGCACGUAGGCGGAUUUGUUAGUCAGGGGUGAAAUCCCGGGGCUCAACCUCGGAACUGCCUCUGAUACUGCAAGUCUCGAGUCCGAUAGAGGUGGGUGGAAUUCCUAGUGUAAGGUGAAAUUCCUAGAUGUUAGGAAGAACUCGGUGGCGAAGGCGGCCCACUGCAUCUUUCUGACGCUUACGUGCCAACCAUGGGGAGCAACAGGAUUCAUCCCUGGUAGACACGCCCUCACGAUGGAGCUAGCCGUUGCACCUUGCUUCUGGUGGCUCCCUACACAUUAACAUCCCCCUGGGGAGUACGCCGCAGGAUUACACUCAAUGAGUGAUCGAC
rnacentral:rRNA from 1 species